rnacentral:rRNA from 1 species
AAUGAACGCUGGCGGCGUGGAUUAGGCAUGCAAGUCGAACGCGAAAGUUCCCUUCGGGGAGCGAGUAGAGUGGCGAAAGGGUGAGUAAUGCUUGGAUGACCUGCCCUCGAGACGGGGACAACAGUUCGAAAGGACUGCUAAUACCCGAUAGUCCGGUUUAGAUGCGUCUAGAUCGGUAAAUGGUGCUUCCGCUCGAGGAGGGGUUCAAGUCCUAUCAGCUUGUUGGUGAGGUAACGGCUCACCAAGGCGACGAUCUGUAGCGGGUCUGAGAGGAUGAUCCGCCACACUGGAACUGAGACACGGUCCAGACUCCUACGGAGGCAGCAGUGGGGAAUUUUGGACAAUGGGCGCAAGCCUGAUCCAGCCAUGCCGCGUGAGUGAAGAAGGCCUGGUUGUAA